rnacentral:rRNA from 1 species
GGCAAAUUAGCUGAUGCAGUUAAAGCUCGUAGUUGGAUUUUGGUUAAGAGGGCGCGGUCGACCGUUUGGUCUGUACUGCGUUGUCUUGACUUCCUGAUGAGGACAUGCUCUUGGUUAACGCUGAGACAUGGAGUCAUCGUGGUUACUUUGAAAAAAUUAGAGUGUUCAAAGCGGGCUUACGCUUGAAUAUAUUAGCAUGGAAUAACACUAUAGGACUCCUGUCCUAUCUCGUUGGUCUCGGGAUGGGAGUAAUGAUUAAGAGGAACAGUUGGGGGCAUUCGUAUUUCAUUGUCAGAGGUGAAAUUCUUGGAUUUAUGAAAGACGAACUUCUGCGAAAGCAUUUGCCAAGGAUGUUUUCAUUAAUCAAGAACGAAAGUUGGGGGCUCGAAGAUGAUUAGAUACCGCCCUAGUUCUAACCAUAAACGAUGCCAGCUAGCGAUCUGCUGACGUUUUUACUGUAGACUCAGCAGGAAGCUUCCGGGAAACCAAAGCAUUUGGGUUCCAGGGGAAGUAUGGUUGCAAAGCUGAAACUUAAAGGAAUUGACGGAAGGGCACCACCAGGAGUGGAGCCUGUGGCUUAAUUUGACUCAACACGGGAAAUCUCACCAGGCCCGGACACUGGAAGGAUUGACAGAUUGAUAGCUCUUUCUUGAUUCGGUGGGUGGUGGUGCAUGGCCGUUCUUAGUUGGUGGAGUGAUUUGUCUGGUUAAUUCCGAUAACGAACGAGGCUCUGUCCUGCUAAAUAGUGUUAUCUUCUUUUUUGAGAUGACAAUUCUUCUUAGAGGGACUGGCAACUCUUAGUUGCACGAGAUUGAGCAAUAACAGGUCUGUGAUGCCCUUAGAU